rnacentral:rRNA from 1 species
UACGAAGGGGGCUAGCGUUGUUCGGAUUCACUGGGUUUAAAGGGUGCGUAGGUGGGUUGGUAAGUCAGUGGUGAAAUCUCCGUGCUUAACAUGGAAACUGCCAUUGAUACUACUGAUCUUGAAUUUUCGGGAGGUAAGCGGAAUAUGUCAUGUAGCGGUGAAAUGCUUAGAUAUGAACAUAGAACACCAAUUGCGAAGGCAGCUUACUACAGGAAUAUUGACACUGAUGCACGAAAGCGUGGGGAUCAAACAGG